GACGAACGCUGGCGGCGUGCCUAACACAUGCAAGUCGAACGGAAAGGCCCUGCUUUUGUGGGGUGCUCGAGUGGCGAACGGGUGAGUAACACGUGAGUAACCUGCCCUUGACUUUGGGAUAACUUCAGGAAACUGGGGCUAAUACCGGAUAGGAGCUCCUGCUGCAUGGUGGGGGUUGGAAAGUUUCGGCGGUUGGGGAUGGACUCGCGGCUUAUCAGCUUGUUGGUGGGGUAGUGGCUUACCAAGGCUUUGACGGGUAGCCGGCCUGAGAGGGUGACCGGCCACAUUGGGACUGAGAUACGGCCCAGACUCCUACGGGAGGCAGCAGUGGGGAAUAUUGCACAAUGGGCGGAAGCCUGAUGCAGCAACGCCGCGUGCGGGAUGACGGCCUUCGGAUUGUAAACCGCUUUCGCCUGUGACGAAGCGUGAGUGACGGUAAUGGGUAAAGAAGCACCGGCUAACUACGUGCCAGCAGCCGCGGUGAUACGUAGGGUGCGAGCGUUGUCCGGAUUUAUUGGGCGUAAAGGGCUCGUAGGUGGUUGAUCGCGUCGGAAGUGUAAUCUUGGGGCUUAACCCUGAGCGUGCUUUCGAUACGGGUUGACUUGAGGAAGGUAGGGGAGAAUGGAAUUCCUGGUGGAGCGGUGGAAUGCGCAGAUAUCAGGAGGAACACCAGUGGCGAAGGCGGUUCUCUGGGCCUUUCCUGACGCUGAGGAGCGAAAGCGUGGGGAGCGAACAGGCUUAGAUACCCUGGUAGUCCACGCUGUAAACGGUGGGUACUAGGUGUGGGGUCCAUUCCACGGGUUCCGUGCCGUAGCUAACGCUUUAAGUACCCCGCCUGGGGAGUACGGCCGCAAGGCUAAAACUCAAAGGAAUUGACGGGGCCCCGCACAAGCGGCGGAGCAUGCGGAUUAAUUCGAUGCAACGCGUAGAACCUUACCUGGGUUUGACAUGGAUCGGGAGUGCUCAGAGAUGGGUGUGCCUCUUUUGGGGUCGGUUCACAGGUGGUGCAUGGCUGUCGUCAGCUCGUGUCGUGAGAUGUUGGGUUAAGUCCCGCAACGAGCGCAACCCUUGUUCACUGUUGCCAGCACGUUAUGGUGGGGACUCAGUGGAGACCGCCGGGGUCAACUCGGAGGAAGGUGGGGAUGACGUCAAGUCAUCAUGCCCCUUAUGUCCAGGGCUUCACGCAUGCUACAAUGGCUGGUACAGAGAGUGGCGAGCCUGUGAGGGUGAGCGAAUCUCGGAAAGCCGGUCUCAGUUCGGAUUGGGGUCUGCAACUCGACCUCAUGAAGUCGGAGUCGCUAGUAAUCGCAGAUCAGCAACGCUGCGAUGAAUACGUUCCCGGGGCU
rnacentral:rRNA from 1 species